UGCAGCAAUAAGUCCUGCAUGCAGUGGGAACUCUGCAGUGCCCCAGAGAAAGAAGCCAGGGGAAAGGUGAAGUCAACAGAUGUUCACUAUGAUGGGAUUUUAGGGUUAAACGGUGUCCGGGGACCUGUUUGCCAACAAAGAAAGGACUGACAGGAAAAAUAAGCUCAACGAGCAGUUCUGCCAGGGUGAGGAAACAAAAACUGUUCUCACUACGGGAAUCCCCAGCGAGCGUUGCUAGUGAAGAACUGGCUGACACACCCUCAGGUCCCACCGCCACUCCUGGGCCCUCACACAGAUGCUGCAACUCAGGGCUGGACUGGGCACCCCUGCCUCUGCCCAGUGCUUCCUGAAGGUCUCCAGAGGGGUCCACAUGGUGACCCCUGUGCUCUAUGAGUGUUCAGCCCCACUCAAAUGACGUAAAGUUCUUAGGUUUGCAAAUUCAAAAAGAAUUCAUCUAAACAGAAAUAGUCUCUUCCCUGGAGGCAGUCAUAUUAUAGAAAAGUGUCAGCAUCAUUUACUUUGUGAUUUCUCAUUUGCUGAGCCCUCCUCUAAAACAAGCCUUGUCAUGUUAUUCUUUCUUUUUUAAGAGAAAAUUGGUUGCUGUCAUAACUGCUGGCACCUUUCCUCAAAAAAAAAUCUUCCUGAUAAUUGCUCUUGGCUAUCUAUAAUUGCUGCAUUUCAGUGUUUGUUUUGUGUGAAGUUUUGCCCUGCAUCACUUUAUUUCAUUUAAAUAAAUGCCUUGUUAAUAGCUCAAAUUAGUUGGUGUAUUUUUUCUGUUUUUAAAGUAUUUUGAAAGUUAAUCUUUUCUGUCUUUUCUUUUUUUGUUUUGUUUUGUUUGCUAAGCCAGUCAGACUGAUCUCUAGUUUUUGUGGUCUAGAAGGCUGCAG
rnacentral:lncRNA from 1 species